GGAUGUGAGGCCAGUCUGGCCGCGACAUCUGUCACCCUGUUGAUUGCCAGGGUUGAUUCAGCUGACCUGGCUGGCUAGGCAGGUGUCCCCUUCCUUCUUCACCGCUCCAUGUGCGUCCCUCCUGAAGCUGCACGCUUAGUCGAAGAGGGUGACCAUCCCUGAUAGAGGAGGACCGUUCUUUUUUUUUU
rnacentral:snRNA from 1 species